UACAGAGGGUGCGAGCGUUGUUCGGAAUUAUUGGGCGUAAAGGGCGCGUAGGCGGUGCGGUAAGUCACCUGUGAAAUCUCCUGGCUCAACUGGGAGCUUGCAGGCGAAACUGCCGUGCUGGAGUGUGGGAGAGGUGCGUGGAAUUCCCGGUGUAGCGGUGAAAUGCGUAGAGAUCGGGAAGAACAUCAGUGGCGAAGGCGGUCUGCUGGGCCGUUGCUGACGCUGAGGCGCGACAGCGUGGGGAGCGAACAGG
rnacentral:rRNA from 1 species